AUUUGUACAUAACCAUAUAUUCAUGUAUCAUGAUCUUAGUCCUAUGAUAACCACACCAUGAGUAUAACUAGUAUAAGUGGUAGUUAAUAUUUUAUUAAAGUACUUUUGAUCCGUGAACGACACUAACGAGGAAAACUCUUGUUAACAUUUCAAUUUGCAGUGACUUUGUUACAGAAACUUUUGAGAUUGGAGAAUUUUCAGUCUAGUGAUUCUAUUUUUGACAACAUUGCCAUCUUCUAUUUGGAUAUACUAAUUAAAUACUAAAAGUUUGUGACUGAAGACAUAAACUAAAAGUAACACGUUAAAGGUAUCAUGGA